rnacentral:lncRNA from 1 species
AUGUUCAGCUCCCCCCCACACACACAUUUUCUCACUGUUCAGAUUCCUCAGGUGUGUCCCCUCGCAGAAGAAGGAGGCCAGGUGUUUCCCUGUCGGAACUCUGAGCCUCCUCUCCAAACCAGGGGAGCAGUUCUGCCCCCUUUCCCUCUGCUCCCACCCGUAACCCACCCUGAAGCAGCCCGAAGGACGGGGAGGGGAGGAAGACGCAGGGCUGCGGGGAGGAGCGACACCUGCCGCUCUCCAGGGGUCAGCCUGGCCCUCCCUGGGCUCCGUGGGGGCAGAAGUUCGUCUUGGCUCAGAAGCAGAUGCGGGGUGGCCGCGGUCCCCGCAGGCUGGAGACGGGCCAGCAGCGCCACCUGCCUUCCCUCGCGGCCACAGACACAGGUGCACCUGCUAGGCUCGCAACUGCCCCGGUGUCUGAGGAGCCAGGUCCCCACCUUGUUCCUCUUCACUGGAGACACACAAAAGCCUCCCAUCUGCACAGUGAAAAGAACAGCCAGGUCCUGUUUCCAGUCAAGCCAGAGGAAGCAUCUCUGGGGCAACCCAGGGGAGCAUGGGCGAGGGCGCUGAACCCAGGCAGACCCACCUGCAGAGGCCAGGUGUGCGUUCAGCCUGCCUGGGGAAGCAAGGCCAGCUGGCAGCUGCUGUGAAGCUGUCCUCAAAGUGUGGUCCUCGGAUCAGCAGCGCCACCUUGGCCGGGGACUCACCAGGAAUAUGUACUCUUGGGCCUCACACCUCAGACCUGCAGAAUCCGAACCUCUGGGCUUGGGGCUCAGCACUGUGCUUUAACAAGCCGUCCAGGUGAUUCUGGGGACACUCGAGUUAGAGAACCUUUGGUUACAGUAGGCUAUGAUAGUGAGCCUGGAGCCCUGGGGUGGGAGGUAGGGCCAAGGGUACUGUGGGUGACGCCAGGGGGACCCCAGUCAGAGCAGCCUCAUGCACCUGUCCCAGUGGCUUGUACAAAUACUAUUCCUUUCUAGGUGUGCCAGCAGGUGACAAAGGUUUGGGAGCCUGCCGAGAAGCAUGUGACAGGGAGCAGUGCCGAGGAGUGAUGCCGCUGCAGGUGCUUUCGCUCUUCCAGGCACGGGUAAGUGUUUGUUCCAACGUGCAGAGAGAGCAUGUGUCCCCAGGUCCCCAAGUAACCUGACUGGGAGGCUAACACUGUGCAGAUCCGGGGAUCCCUGGGUGGCUCAGCGGUUUAGCACCUGCCUUCGGCCCAGGGCAUGACUCUGGAGACCCAGAAUCGAGUCCCGCAUCAGGCUCCCUACAUGGAGCCUGC